AUGUGAAUUUCUUCAAAGGGAGAAGUCCAGAGAUGAAAUUAAACAGUAUAUUCAAAGUUAUUGCGGAUUUUUUGACAUCACGGGGAAGCAUUUUGCAGCAUCUGUCAGGAAAUAUUUACCUUCUGACCCAGAGGAUCUAGAACCCUUUCUGAACAUCUAUAAGGAUGAAGAGAUUCGGCUGGAAUCCUUCAAAACGUGGCCAAAAGAUGCACAUGCUGACCCAGCAAUUCUGGCUAAAGUAGGUUUCUUCUAUACAGG